rnacentral:rRNA from 1 species
AUUGAACGCCGGCGGCAUGCUUUACACAUGCAAGUCGAGCGGUAACAGGCCUUCGGGUGCUGACGAGUGGCGAACGGGUGGGUAAUGCAUCGGAACGUACCCAGAGGUGGGGGAUAACGCAGCGAAAGCUGUGCUAAUACCGCAUGUGAUCUGAGGAUGAAAGCGGGGGACCGAGCAGCAAUGUUUGGCCUCGCGCCUUUGGAGCGGCCGAUGUCGGAUUAGCUAGUUGGUGGGGUAAAGGCCUACCAAGGCGACGAUCCGUAGCUGGUCUGAGAGGACGACCAGCCACACUGGGACUGAGACACGGCCCAGACUCCUACGGGAGGCAGCAGUGGGGAAUUUUGGACAAUGGGCGCAAGCCUGAUCCAGCAAUGCCGCGUGCGGGAAGAAGGCCUUCGGGUUGUAAACCGCUUUUGGCAGGAACGAAACGGUGUCCGCUAAUACCGGGCGCUAAUGACGGUACCUGCAGAAUAAGCACCGGCUAACUACGUG